CUUCACCGACCCCAGCCACAACGGCCGUUCGCCGGGCCGGUCCUGCCCGUACGUGGCGAGGAGCGCCUGGGCCUC
rnacentral:antisense_RNA from 1 species